AUGGACAUGAGGAACCCUGCUCAACUCCUGGGGCUCCUGAUGCUCUGGCUCCCAGGUGCCAAAUGUGAUGUUCAGUUGACCCAGUUGCCAUCCAUGUCCGCAUCUCUUGGAGAGAGAGUCUCCAUCACUUGCAGGGCCAGUCAGGGCACUAGCAAUGAUUUACAUUGGUGCCAGCAGAAACCAGGGAAUGCUCCUAAGCUCCUGAUUUAUUUUGCAACUCGUUUGCAAUCUGGGUUCCCAUCAAGGUUCAGUGGGAGUCAAUCUGGGGAAGAGUUCACUCUCACCAUCAACAGCCUGCAGCCUGAAGAUGUUGCCACUUACUACUGUGAACAGAGUAAUAGUUACCCUCCCACAGUGAUACAAGUCAUAACAAAAACCUCCCAGGAAAGCAGAAGUGAGAGGUUGGGCAGCCCCAGCUGCUCCUCCUGGGCCUCCACCUGCUGA